rnacentral:lncRNA from 1 species
CUCAUGGCAAUGCUGGAUCCCUAACCCACUGAGAGAGGCCAGGGAUUGAACCCAAAUCCUCAUGGAUGCGAGUCAGAUUUGUUUCCACUGAGCCAUGAUGGGAACUCCUAACCUGAUUUUUUAAAUGAGGAAGAUGAUCCACACUCCAAAUGAAGUAGCUGGAACCAAGCAUGAGAACAAUUAUUGUGCUUUUUCCAAUUCAUUACAUCAGAAGUCUAAACACUAACCCCCGGGGCCAAGCACCACUCACCUGUUCCUGUACAACCCUUUAGCUAAGAAUGGUUUUCACACUUUCAAAAAAUUAGGGGGGAAAAAUCAAAAGACAAAUAUCAUGACUUGUAAAAACUAUAUGAAAUUUUAAAUUUCGGUGUCUGCUUAACAACCUUUUCUUGGUACCCGGCCACGCCUAUUAUUUUCCCAUUGUCUAGGGCUGCUCAUUCACCUUGUCAGCAGAGCUGAGUAGUUGCCAGAAAGUAUGGCCUAAAGAGCCUAAAAGACUUAUUAGCUGACCCUUUACAGAAAAAAAAUUUGCCAAGCUCUGCACGGAAGAGUCAGACCCAAUUAGAAAUAUCAUCUCGGAGUUCCCAUCGUGGCUCAGUGGUAAAUGAAUCCGACUAGGAACCAUGAGAUUGCAGGUUCGAUCCCUGGCCUUGCUCAGUGGGUUAAGGAUCCGGCGUUGCCAUGAGCUGUGGUGUAGGUUGCAGAUGCGGCUCAGAUCCCGCGUUGCAGUGGCUCUGGCGUAGGCCGGUGGCUACAGCUCAGAUUAGACCCCUAGCCUGGGAACCUCCAUAUGCCGAGGGAGCGGCCCAAGAAACGUCAAAAAGACAAAAAAAAAAAAAAGAAAUAUCAUCUCUAUGAAGACAACCAGAGUUUGUAAUGGUUUGCUAUCAACGAACUCAAAAAUUCGUUCAAAAGUAGUUUCUAUAUGCAGCUCUCCUCCCCACAGAACUCUCCUUUCUAGACAUCUCAGCAUUGUAUAGGCAGUGAUGUUACAAGGAGAAAGUAUUGAAUUUGGACUGCCGACAGUCACAUACAGCAUCUUUAAGAUUGAGACUCUUUUCCCCUUCAAGGGCAAAACAUCCUGCCUGGCUUUUUUUUUUUUUUUUUUUUUUUUUUUUUUUUUUUUUUUUUUGCCUUAAGGUUUGUUUAUACUCAGCAGGAGGAAAGGUAAGGAGAUAAAAGAAAUGCAGAAUGAAUAAAGGAAGACAAGGCUACAGCAAAACACAGAGAAGGCAAGAUUAGAGGAGCGAGCCCCAGGGAAGAAAGUUUACAAGUUAGCAACGGAGUGGAUGGAAAGAGAGAUUACACCUGGAACACAGUGGCCAGAAGGAAGACUCGCUGGAGACGAAAUUGCCACAGGCAAAGGUUAUUUCAAAUGCACAAAUCUCCCAACCAACGGGUGGAUCAAGUCUCUGAAAGAAUGAAUUUAAUUCUGGCGAUUAGCUUCUUUAGUGGCUGGGAAUCCCACCGGUAUUUCGACCCAGACCCUUGCUGGGGGGUCAGUUAGAACAGGGACCACAGGGAGUGCAAAACAUCUUGCAUCUGCAAUUCCUUCUUUCUGGGGCUCACUUUCCAGCCAGGGGAUGGUGAAAAAGGACUCAGGGCCCGUGUCAGCCUGAAAACACCCCUGACACUUAGACGCUUGACAGGCAGAGAAGUGGAGCUCUUUUUUUUUUUUUUUUUUUGCAUCCCCCAUAGUAAUCUUAUGAAGAGUAAAGAAUGGCCAAUUAUUGAACGUUUACGAUAAGCCACGUCCCACAUUGAAUCCUUUCCCUGUGUUAGCUUCUUUAAUCCUUGUAACAACCCUUUGAGCUAAGUAAUAUCCUGGAGACUUUGAAGAGGUUUAGAGAAGUCAAAUGACAAGGCUGGGAAAAAGUCAAAUGACAAGGCUGGAAAGAAGCUGGGAAGAACCCGGGAAGAACCCACAGUGAUUUUAUCAGCCUCCAAAGUCCACACUCUAAAACCACCAUGAGACACCGACUGCCAGUGAGUAAUGAACCCAACUAGUAUCCAUGAGAAUGCCAGUUCGAUCCCUAGCCCCGCUCAGUGAGUUAAGAAUCUGGUGUUGUGCCAUGAGCUGUGGUGUACGUUGCAGACAUGGCUUGGAUCCCUUGUUGUGGCUGUGGCAUAGGCUGGCAGCUGUAGCUCUAAUUCAGCCCCUAGCCUGGGAAGUUCCAUAUACUGCAAGU